CGACCAUCCGCGACCGAAACAACGAUGCAAAGGCUGCAGCACCCGCGGAGGGCAGGAAGGUGACGGCGGAGGGGGGGCAGCUGGACCGCACAUCCCGCCCCAGGAGUUUUCUACAAAGAAGGAUGCUGGCUGUUCUCCUGCCCUUCUCCCAGCUCUGAGUGCCAUCUAACAUGGGGCCCUUCCUGCCAUGGCCCAGCACAGCCUACAGAUGCUCACUGACUUCACUUCCAGUUGUCCUUGGAAAUCGCCUUCUGCCUCACAGCACUCCAAAGGAUGCUUUUCAGCCUGACGGUAGCUUCAAGUCUCCAAGAAGAGUCAGUGAUUUCCUCCCUACAAAUAUCCCUGCAGAAAGCACGUGGAAGAGGAGACAAGAAGAUAUCCCUGGAAUGGAGGGAUCUAACAGCGCCUGCCUGGUUCUCCUCGGGGGCCUGAGCCCCUUGGCCUCCAGAUGAAGGAGGGCUUUGUCCAGGCUGCAGCCAGAAUUAAAAUGCUGGAGCUUUUCCAGAUGGGACCCAGAUGGGAUCCAAAGAUCCUGGGGCUUUGCCUGCUUGAUGGGAGAUGUGUCUGGGUCCCGCAGCUGCACACAGAUCAUAGAAUCGCAGAAUGGUUGUUGGAUUGGAAAGGACCCCAAAGAUCAUUCAGUUACAACUGCUGGGUGAUGCCUGCUGAGGGCAGAGGGAGCUCCACCAGGAGGGAGCUGCUAGGCUGCAUCCAGACCCGGGGCAGUGGGGGAGGAAGGCUUACAGCAGGCUCCUCUCUGUGGGGGAUGUCAGAUGGGGGCAAGUAGGGCCCUUCCAGCUGCUGCUGCCACCCAGGGAGAGGUGCUGAUGGCAGUGGGAGGCUAUGAGCUGGGGGAGCCUCGGCCUGGAGAGACGGGGCCAGGCGCACAGGCUGCAAAUACCCUCCCCUUCCUCUCACCUCCUCCACUUCUCAGCCCUAGUUCCUUUCAGCCCACCCUUUGCUUUUCCUCCGGUAUGAAAAAUGUCCCUCCUGCUAUCACUGAUGACAGACAGUGUGAUCUAUUUGUUUUUAACUUGCAAAACAGCCAAAUGACCACCAUUCAAAAUCCAGCUGCUAAAUAGCUGCUGCAAGGCUGGUCGGAUUGUCUGACCUAAAGCCUCCUCGCUUUGGUGUUGCUGUUUUGUGGCAAGCUGACACAUGGAAAUGAUACACUAAAAAUCCCGUUUGAGGCGAUAUUUUAAAAAUGAGAUCCUCGUUGGAGCUUCUGCCUUUGGUACAGGAAAAGCUGUAAAGCAAUGAGCUGUUGCCCCUGGCUCUGGUUUGUGAAAAAAUUUCUCCUUGACUUUGCACAGUUGCAUCACGCAUUGCAAAUGGGAUUGCUGUUUUUGGCACUGAUCAAAGCAGCGGAUUUCACUGGAGAAAACAACAGAUGUGUCCAAACUGAAAUGGCAGAGCAUAAAAAAGCCCCAAAUAA